AGUAAAGUGGCGUACGGGUGAGUAACACGUGGAUAAUCUACCCUGGAGUGGGGAAUAACGCUGGGAAACCGGCGCUAAUACCGCAUAAUCCGGAGAGGGCAAAGGAAGCAAUUUCGCUUCAGGAGGAGUCCGCGGCCGAUUAGCUAGUUGGCAGGGUAAGAGCCUACCAAGGCAACGAUCGGUAGCCGGCCUGAGAGGGCACACGGCCACACUGGCACUGAAACACGGGCCAG
rnacentral:rRNA from 1 species